AGCAGCCGCGGUAAUUCCAGCUCCAAUAGCGUAUAUUAAAGUUGUUGCAGUUAAAAAGCUCGUAGUUGAAUUUCGGAGUUCUACCGUCGGUCGGGCUACCAAGUCUGUACUGGUGUGUAGAAUUCCUACCUUCUGGGGAACCAUCAUGUUAUUAAUUUAGCGUGGUGGGAAACCAGGACCUUUACCUUGAAAAAAUUAGAGUGUUCAAAGCAGGCUUAUGUCUGAAUACAUUAGCAUGGAAUAAUAGAAUAGGACGGUGGUCCUGUUUUGUUGGUUUCUGAAUCACCGUAAUGAUUAAUAGGGAUAGUUGGGGGCAUUAGUAUUCAAUUGUCAGAGGUGAAAUUCUUGGAUUUAUGAAGACUAACUUCUGCG
rnacentral:rRNA from 1 species